UACGGGGGGGGCAAGCGUUGUUCGGAAUUACUGGGCGUAAAGGGCUCGUAGGCGGCCAACUAAGUCGGACGUGAAAUCCCCAGGCUCAACCUGGGAACUGCGUCUGAUACUGGAUGGCUUGAAUCCGGGAGAGGGAUGCAGAAUUCCAGGUGUAGCGGUGAAAUGCGUAGAUAUCUGGAGGAAUACCGGUGGCGAAGGCGGCAUCCUGGACCGAGAUUGACGCUGAGGCGCGAAAGCCAGGGGAGCAAACGGG
rnacentral:rRNA from 1 species